UACGUAGGGUGCAAGCGUUAAUCGGAAUUACUGGGCGUAAAGCGUGCGCAGGCGGUGAUGUAAGUCAGAUGUGAAAUCCCCGGGCUCAACCUGGGAACUGCAUUUGUGACUGCAUCGCUAGAGUACGGCAGAGGGGGAUGGAAUUCCGCGUGUAGCAGUGAAAUGCGUAGAUAUGCGGAGGAACACCGAUGGCGAAGGUAAUCCCCUGGGCCUGUACUGACGCUCAUGCACGAAAGCGUGGGGAGCAAACAGG
rnacentral:rRNA from 1 species